CAGCAGCCGCGGUAAUACGUAGGGUGCGAGCGUUAAUCGGAAUUACUGGGCGUAAAGCGUGCGCAGGCGGUUAUGUAAGACAGGUGUGAAAUCCCCGAGCUUAACUUGGGAAUUGCAUUUGUGACUGCAUGGCUAGAGUGUGUCAGAGGGGGGUGGAAUUCCACGUGUAGCAGUGAAAUGCGUAGAUAUGUGGAGGAACACCAAUGGCGAAGGCAGCCYCCUGGGAUAACACUGACGCUCAUGCACGAAAGCGUGGGGAGCAAACAGGAUUAGAUACCCUGGUAGUCCACGCCCUAAACGAUGUCAACUAGUUGUUGGGGAUYUACUUACUUGGUAACGUAGCUAACGCGUGAAGUUGACCGCCUGGGGAGUACGGCCGCAAGGUUAAAACUCAAAGGAAUUGAC
rnacentral:rRNA from 1 species